rnacentral:rRNA from 1 species
UCAGAUUGAACGCUGGCGGCAGGCCUAACACAUGCAAGUCGAGCGGUAACAGGGGAAGCUUGCUUUCUGCUGACGAGCGGCGGACGGGUGCGUAACACGUAGGAAUCUGCCUGGUAGUGGGGGAUAGCCCGGAGAAAUCCGGAUUAAUACCGCAUACGCCCUAAGGGGGAAAGCAGGGGAUCAGCUUACUGACCUUGCGCUAUCAGAUGAGCCUGCGUCGGAUUAGCUUGUUGGUGGGGUAAAGGCCUACCAAGGCGACGAUCCGUAGCUGGUCUGAGAGGAUGAUCAGCCACACUGGGACUGAGACACGGCCCAGACUCCUACGGGAGGCAGCAGUGGGGAAUAUUGCACAAUGGGCGCAAGCCUGAUGCAGCCAUGCCGCGUGUGUGAAGAAGGCCUUAGGGUUGUAAAGCACUUUCAGCGAGGAGGAAAGGUGAUUAGUUAAUACCUGAUUACUGUGACGUUACUCGCAGAAGAAGCACCGGCUAACUCCGUGCCAGCAGCCGCGGUAAUACGGAGGGUGCGAGCGUUAAUCGGAAUUACUGGGCGUAAAGCGUGCGUAGGCGGCUACUUAAGUUGGAUGUGAAAGCCCCGGGCUUAACCUGGGAACUGCAUCCAAAACUGGGUGGCUAGAGUGCGAGAGAGGAGUGUGGAAUUUCCUGUGUAGCG